UUCCGGUUGAUCCUGCCGGACCUGACUGCUAUCGGAUUGAUACUAAGCCAUGCGAGUCUUUGCAGUAAUGCAAGGCGGACUACUCAGUAACACGUAGUCAACUUAACCUAUGGAUGGGUAUAACCUCGGGAAACUGAGAAUAAUUCCCAAUAGAUCAUUUAUCCUGGAAUGGUUGAUGAUUGAAAUGAUUCGUCGCCAUAGGAUGGGACUGCGGCCUAUCAGCUUGUUGGUGAGGUAAAGGCCCACCAAGGCUAUUACAGGUACGGGCUCUGAGAGGAGAAGCCCGGAGAUGGGUACUGAGACACGGACCCAGGCCCUAUGGGGCGCAGCAGGCGAGAAAACUUUGCAAUGUGCGAAAGCACGACAAGGUUAAUCCGAGUGAUUUCUGCUAAAGAAAUCUUUUGCCAGUUCUAAAAAUACUGGUGAAUAAGGGGUGGGCAAGUUCUGGUGUCAGCCGCCGCGGUAAAACCAGCACCUCAAGUUGUCAGGAGGAUUAUUGGGCCUAAAGCAUCCGUAGCCGGCUCUGUUAGUUUUCGGUUAAAUCCAUAUGCUCAACAUAUGGGCUGUCGGAAAUACUGCAGAGCUAGGGAAUGGGAGAGGUAGACGGUACUCGGUAGGAAGGGGUAAAAUCCUUUGAUCUAUCGAUGACCACCUGUGGCGAAGGCGGUCUACCAGAACAUGUUCGACGGUGAGGGAUGAAAGCUGGGGGAGCAAACCGGAUUAGAUACCCGGGUAGUCCCAGCUGUAAACGAUGCAGACUAGAUGAUGCAUUAGCAUAUAGCUAGUGCAGUGUCUCAGGGAAGCCGUUAAGUCUGCCGCCUGGGAAGUACGUACGCAAGUAUGAAACUUAAAGGAAUUGGCGGGGGAGCACCACAAGGGGUGAAGCCUGCGGUUCAAUUGGAUUCAACGCCGGA
rnacentral:rRNA from 1 species